rnacentral:misc_RNA from 1 species
UUUGACCCUUAUCAAGUAUUCUGAUUAUCGUGGAAUGCCCAUUCAUAAGGUUAAAGAGAUCUGUGUCCACAUUUUGGUGGGUUUGGAUUACUUGCAUAGGCAGCUUUCUAUCAUACACACUGAUCUCAAGCCAGAGAAUAUAUUGCUAUUAUCAAUGAUAGAUCCAUCAAAGGAUCCGAGAAAAUCUGGUGCUCCUCUUAUUCUUCCAAAUAGUAAGGAUAAGACUGUAGUGGAAUCUGCAAUUGGCAAAAUAAAUGGAGAUUUGACAAGAAAUCAAAAG